GAUGAACGCUGGCGGCGUGCCUAAUACAUGCAAGUCGAGCGGUAACAGGCUCUCACAGUUUGCUUAAGUUCUGCGGCAGUAAUGCCACAGACGGACAAUAUACUCACCGAAGCUAGGCUAGCGGAAGUGGUAUGGCGGUCGUAUUAAGCGAAGUGUGAGAGUGCUGACGAGCGGCGGACGGCUGAGUAACACGUAGGAACGUACCCCAAAGUGAGGGAUAAGCAUUGGAAACAGUGUCUAAUACCGCAUGUGGCC
rnacentral:rRNA from 1 species